AGGCGUGGCGGCGGGGGGGGGGAUCGUGUCAUGUCACGUGACGGUCUGACGGUAGAAGAACGCCGCGGGCUGCAUCGGGCAGGUGUACGCGGGAACGGGUUGGGGAUUCUGGGCUGCGCGUGCGUAGUGGUAAUGGUUGGGGGAGGUGCCGGUGACAUCGCCUGUGACUGCUUGUCGCGCCGCCGGCCCGACUUGCGGCUCCACCGCAGCCGGGGCCGGGUCUCCGGGGCCCGCUCGUUUGUCUGCUCUCGGCGGAGGUGGCCCGGCCGCACCGGCUGUGCGGUUAGGGCCGGUUUUGUGGGUACCUGCCCCUGGGUAACUGAUUCCCCGGCUCGUUUCCCCCGGGCUGCUCAACAGAUGCGGCAGCCGCUGAGGUGGCGAUGAGAAGUUCCAGCCGCUCCUCGCCCUCCGCCCGGAUUGGACUAGCCCGAGGUCCCUGGCUGCCAGCCGGUCAGGAGUCUGAGCUCCUGCCGCUUGUCCCCGACCCACCACUCCCCGGAGUCCCAGAUGAUGUUGUCGAUGCUUAGAGAAGAUCUACUGAAGGUGUUUGAAGAAGCCUGCUCUGUAUCCUGCAAUAUCAACUUCAUCUCCACUGAAGGAAGGAGGUUCCCAAAUACACCAAAAAGAUGGAGAGUAACAUGAACUUUCACAGUAAAGUCUUUUACGUGUUAUAACAGUUUGUAAAAUAAGACAUGGUGUAUGCAAUGGUCCUGACUGUGUUAAUGCAACAUUACAGUGCUGCUCCACUCUGAGAAGUGAUUCCUUGAUAAUUGCAUUGUGGGUUCUAUACAUAUUGGCUCUCAAUAUUUUUCAUAUCAAAUGUGUUUAAUAAUGUGUGUGUAUGUAUAAUAUAAUAUAUAGUUUUAAUCUGCUAGCCUUAGUAAUUCACAAUUCAAAUUGGACUCAGUCAGCCUAGCUUCUUUCCUUGACAUUCAUUGUAAGCACUGAAAGAUGGUCCGUAAGUAAAACUUUGCCCUCUGCUGCCCCUUUGCAGUCCUACUGUGUGUGAGAUUAGUCAGGUGUAAAUGAUUUGGGCUUAAUACACUGUUCUGCUGAGGAUGCAUAAAGAGAAAUGGAAUCAAGCUCAUUGGUUGAUUCUGCAGAGCUAGCAGGAGUAAAAUUAGUAAAAAUUUUAGUUUAGAUUAAAACUUUCAAAAACAUUUAAGUCCCAUUUUGAAAAGUAACAUUCUCAUUUAGAAGCCCACUGAAAGUCAAUGGGACUUAGAUUCUUAAGUGCCUUAGUCACUUCUGAAAAUGGGACUAAGGCCUUGUCUACACUGCCACUUUACAGUGCUGCAACUUUCUCGCUCAGGGGUGUGAAAAAACUCUCCCCCCCGACCCCGAGCCCUGCAAGUUUCAGCGCUGUAAAGUGGCAGUGUAGACAGUGCACCAGCGCUGGGAGCCGUGCUCCCAGCACUGGUAGCUACUCCCCUCGUGGAGGUGGGUUUUUUUUACAGCGCUGGGAGAGCUCUCUCCCAGCGCUGGUGCCGCAGCUACACAACCACGUUAAAGCACUGCCAUGUCAGAGCUUUAACGUUGCUAGUGAAGACAUACCCUUAGUUUCCAAAGUGACUUAGGUGCUUUGAAAAUGGCUUGUAUUUAGUUUUAAGGAUGCCGAUGUCAAUGAUCAUUCUUAUAUCUUGUUCCAUAGUCUUAGUCCAAAUCCAGUGAAAAUUCUGUCUCCUCCCGAACCUGCCCUAUGGAUUGAUAGUAUCACUGCUCUGGUGGAAGGAAGCUGUUGUGGAAGGUCAUGGAAGCCGAAGUGAUCCCAUGGAUAGCUGAGAAUGUCAGGACAGAGAAUUUGAGUUGGACUCUGUAUUCAGUGGGGAGCUAAUACAGAGUGAAAUACUGGGAUGAUGUGCUCAUGGAGAGGCUAUAGGGAAACACCCUCACCACAAAAAAGUGUGCCAUGAUCUGCAGAUGAUAUGGUGGAGUGCAAGAAUCACAAGCAGUGAAACCACUAGUGAAGAGACCAAGGGAAUUCCACAAACUUUGGUGGAACUGAAGGAAGAACUCAGCUUGCCUGCAGACUUAUGCAACAAAGUGGACUAUUCAUUUAAACAGUUAACAUUUUUAAAAAUCAUUUUACUGGACACUUUCUGGUUUAAGACCCUACAAGCCAUUGUUGAAAGUCGUUUACUUCAAGACUCUGAGCUUACACUUGAUGAUGAAUCAAGGCUGAUGAAAUCACUUCUAAGUGCACUGGAGGGCCUUUGAGAAUCUUGGCCUCUGUUUUUUGACAAGUCAAAAUUUGUAGCAGCUGGUCUGGGCCUUGAGCAAGAUUUCAGAAAGAAAAGAGGAAAACAUUCCAUGAUGAAGACAGGACCACUGCAUGUGGCCAGGAAAAUCAAGAAACUGAGUUCAAAGUUGAUGUUUUUUACGUUGCUCUAGAUGUGCUUAUAUGCAAAAUUACAAGAAGAUCUGAAACAACUGAAAAAAUCAGCAGCAUAUCUUCACUUAUUUGGAGCCUGACAACAAAUGAUGCCAAGUACAGUAUCUCAAAAGUUCAAACUAUCAAAAUGCUACCCAAUAGAUUUGAUGGAAGAUGAUUCUGUUGAAGAAACUCACCUUUUAAAAUAAGCUGAGAGAGUGACUAUUUGAAAAAGUGAUUUUAAUUAAGUUGUUAAACAAGACUUACUACAAAGGACUGCAGAAUAUUUCCCCACAGAUCUGCAUUGCUCUAAGGAUUUUUGUCUCUAUGCUGAUUUUGGUUUCCCAAGAGGAGUGAUCCUUUAGCAAAUUAGCCUUGCUGCUGCUGCUUUUUUUUUUUUUUUUAAAGCCUCCAAUCUACCAUGGGUAAACAGUGUGUAUUGGCCUUCGUGAUGCUGUCGAUAGAGUACGAUCUUGCAAGGAGCCUAAAUUAUAACUCAUUUGAUGCUCUCUUUUUGUUUUUGUAAAGAUAACGUGGUGUGAUUUCUUUUGUGAUAAUAAAUCAGCUUUAAAGUUUUCAAUAGCAUUCUUUUUAUAUUCUUUCAUCUCCAGGGUGACUUUUCUGGAAAGGGGGCAGAGGUAGCCUCUGUUAAGCUCUCCUACAGUGGCUCAAGAACCUGAGUACCAAACUCAGGGCAGACUGUUAAGAGGCAGGGCACAGACCCCAAAGUAGCUGUGAGGUGUAGACUUAGAUUUCACCAACCAAUUAUCAAGUGUAAACUCGUCAAGAACUACAACAGUCUUAAUGUGGAGUCAUAGAUAGACCAGAGUACCCAAGGGGACUAUCUUGCCACCCAGGUAGGCUUGCCUUUGUGACAGAUGAUCCCUUAUACCAAAAAUCACAACAGUAUUCAGGUUACUCCCAGUACCAAAGGACCAGUCACUUACCUUAGGUCAAUUACACCUAAGAUUUCACACCAAAGACAAUGGCUGUGGCCAAUCCUGUAAUAAACUAUCUAAAGAUUUUAUUAACUCAGAAAAGGAAAUGAGUUAUUUAUAACGUUAAAGCAAGUAAACAUAUAUAUGAACAAAUGAGUUUCUAUCUAAGUAAUAGAAGCUUCUCUGAUAAGCAAGCUCUAUAUGUCCUUUAGGGCUAAGGCAGGCCAAGCACUGGGGAUCUUUUGCUUAUGCUUAGUAAUUCUUGCCCCUUAAAGCCCAAGUAGCAUAAAAGAUACAGUUCCUCCUUGUUAGGGCUUUUUAUUUCUCUCUGCCCUGCCCCCUUCUGCUUCCAGUUGCCAAUUCAGCUGUUGGGAGGAAUUCAGUUGCAUAUCUCUUCUUCAUGGAGGGUGACGUGAGGAGGGGACACAAUCUGUCUUCUGAUGUUCCACAAUGGUUCGUCUGGUGUUAAUGGGCCUUCUUUUGUUGGUAUAGAGAAUACCUCUUGUUGGAAACUAGAAUUUCACACUUGUUAAUGCUUCUCUCAUGUCUGAUUUACAGUUACAGAGCAAACACUUAAAUAUUACCUUAAAACAUGGGAUACAGGUAUAAGUGAGAUGAUGAAAUGCUUGUAAAUUGCUGCAUGCCUUAAAGUCUAAACACAUUUUUAUAACUAUUUAUAACUGAUGCCUAUUUUAACAGUACUAACACACAGGUGAGCCAGACUGGCUCUAGCUAUGUAUUUGUCAGUGUUCAAGAGUUUUGGCAUGAGCUGGCCCCUGAUCUGCCAGUGUCACAGCCUCAGUUUCAGAUUUUGCUCCACGCCCCCAGAAACCUCUGUGCAGCCGUGCCUUCAGGGAUCCAGCUAUUGGCACUUUAAUUGAGGCUUCCUGUGACUUCCAUUAUGUAUAAGUGAAUUGCAGGAAGAAUACAUUUGAAAUAUCAUUCUUGUCGUUUGGGAUACCAUUAAUUUAAAAAUGUUUAGCCCAAUGGUCAGGUGACAAGUAGGUUAGAGGGUUAUUGUUUUGAACAGUGCCACUACUCACCUAGAGAUAAAAGACAAACUCUUUUCAGUGGGUACAGGGGGCACUUGUAAGCUAGCUACGAUGAUCUGUAGUUCUGGAAGAGAAUGCUAGCUCUUUCUUCUGUAAAGUCAUGUGGAAUCCCAUGUAGAUGAAACUAAUCAGAUAACUGUUUUCCAGGUAAAAGGGAAAUUUAUGCCCUGUACCUAACUGUCAUAUAUCAUGUAGCAGUAGCUAGCCACUCCAUUCUUAAGUUUGCAGCUAAUUUUGUCUUUGAAAGCAAAUUAACUUAAUUUCAUAACCAGAUUUCUUCACUUAAGAUCAGAUAUAGUCCAUUCUAAAUCUGAAGCUUUAGAACAAAUGAGUUGCCCAAGUGUGUUUUUUAAAUCCCAAACCCACUCAGAGAACAAUCUUUGAGUAAAAAAUAAGUUUUGGGUUUUUUUGCAUUCAUGGAAGCUCCUUAACUUAAAGAACUGAGACUUUAGACUUUAUUGAUCAUGUUUGCACUAUAUUAGUAUUCCUGCAUCACUGAUUAGACUCCAUGUCCUCUCCCAGCAUGGACUGGGUUUAGUUUAAAAUCUGGAAGCACUGUUUUCUGGGCAGUUCCUAAGCUGUUCCAGAGCCCUAGUCUGGACCAUAGUGGGGAUGUCCUCAGAACAGCAUCUUGUGUUAACUCCAGGCUUCUGAAUCAGUGUUAUUAAGAGUUUUGCAUGCACAACUGCCAUUUUGGCUUGACACCAAGUAUAAAAAAAGUUCAGCCAAAGUAAUCUGUGACUGAAAAAGAGGACUUUAAAAUAAAAUAACCAUUAUAAUCAUAACUAUUGACUUGCUACUGUAGUUCAGCUUUACAUGUAGAGAAGAUACCUUUCUCUAUAUUAAAAAUGGCUUUUAUGGAGCAUGUCUGUACCAAUACAUGUAAGUAUUGCUAAUCUGGAUGCAGGACUGGUUUCAGAGGUAACGUUAAACAUAUCUUGGAUGGUUAGCCGCAACAAAUCCUGGAUCUUGGCAGGGGGUUAGACUAGAUGACCCUUGCGGUCCCUUCUAAGCCUAUGAUUCUAUGGUGUGCUCUUCAAUAAGAGAAGCAGUUAAAGACGUGCAUUGAAGAAAACCAUUGAGGGUCUUUGAAUUCUUUACCCAUUCUAAGACCAGUUGGGGCUAUCAGGGCAGCAGUGACCCCACCAGUUUAAGAAAAAUAACUCUCCUGAAUCUGUGGAUCUUCCUAAGAGCAGGGAUUGAAUUGGGCCAGUGCAGGGUGGCUUGGUGAGCUGGUAGUUUUUUCUGGAGGCUGGUAUUUUAUGUUCAAAAAUUUAAACUCUCUCUCUCUUUGUGUGUGUGUUAAAGUUAAGGUUUUAGCCCUUUGGGUUGUGAAGAAAAGCUUCAACAUGAGCCAGACUUAAACAGAGAAGAGAUGUCUGCAGACAGCAUGAAACAGGAGCACCAAGAGUACAAAUUGGUAGACUUGUUUCAGGGGAUUGGCUUGUGAUGGAGUAUACAAAUCCCACGCUGGCCACACAGUGCAAGUCUGUCUACCCAGGCUGGAUCAUGAUUUAAAUCAAGUGGAGAGCCUUGAUUUUAAAUCAUUGAUUUUAAUCAACUUUUCCAUUUGUACUUUUAUUUUCUAAAGAGAGGUGCAUUCUCAUUGAUUGAUUGUAACCAUUAAAACAUGUUGACUUGCAACUAAAUAGAGCCUUUACACAAAAUUUGGUACAUCUUUUUGCUACCUAGGAGGGUAUGCUAUAAACAUAUACAUUUAUUUAAGCAAUUAUAUACCUUAAUAUGGUCAGAGUCUUAUUAAUUGUACAUUUUUAGUGUGUUAUUUUGCUUAUUUAGUAGAUAAUAGAUAAUUUUUGCUCAUGAUUUAUGUCAAGAUGCAUUAGGAUGGUAACUGGAAUUUACCACAAAACAGCAUAUUAAUUUAUUUUUAUUAAACAAAACAAGUCCUUAAUACAGUACAUAAUCUAUUGUGCCAUAAUUGUAAAGCUUGACCUCACAAAUUAGAUAUUUUUUUCUCUGAUUCUUUCUUUAUAUAGAAAAGCAGCCUUUAACUCUUUUUUUUUUAUAUAGUGGCUCAUGGAUUCAGCAUAUUUAUUUUAUUUAAAUGUUUUAAGAGAUUAUAAUAAGU